rnacentral:rRNA from 1 species
UGAGCAAUCUGCCCUUCUCUUCGGAAUAAGCGUUGGAAACGACGUCUAAUGCCGAAUACGACCUCCUUUCGCAUGAUCGGAGGUGGAAAGCUCCGGCGGAGAAGGAUGAGCUCGCGGCCUAUCAGCUAGUUGGUGUGGGUAAUGGCCCACAAGGCGACGACGGGUANCCGGCCUGAGAGGGUGACCGGCCACGCUGGGACUGAGACACGGUCCCAGACUCCUACGGGAGNAGCG